UGACGCUGAGGCACGAAAGCGUGGGUAUCAAACAGGAUUAGAUACCCUGGUAGUCCACGCAGUAAACGAUGAAUACUAGCUGUUGGCGAUAUAAUGUCAGUGGUACAGCGAAAGUGUUAAGUAUUCCACCUGGGGAGUACGCCGGCAACGGUGAAACUCAAAGGAAUUGACGGGGGCCCGCACAAGCGGAGGAACAUGUGGUUUAAUUCGAUGAUACGCGAGGAACCUUACCCGGGCUUGAAAGUUAGCGACGGAGGCUGAAAGGCUUCUUCCCUUCGGGGCGCGAAACUAGGUGCUGCAUGGUUGUCGUCAGCUCGUGCCGUGAGGUGUCGGCUUAAGUGCCAUAACGAGCGCAACCCUUGUUGUUAGUUACCAUCAGGUUAAGCUGGGGACUCUAACAAGACUGCUACUGUAAGGUAGAGGAAGGUGGGGAUGACGUCAAAUCAGCACGGCCCUUACGUCCGGGGCGACACACGUGUUACAAUGGGCGGUACAGAGGGUUGCUACCUGGCGACAGGAUGCUAAUCUCCAAAAGCCGUUCUCAGUUCGGAUCGGAGUCUGCAACUCGACUCCGUGAAGCUGGAUCGCUAGUAAUCGCGC
rnacentral:rRNA from 1 species